rnacentral:lncRNA from 1 species
UGACAACUUAAUUGUUUGAAGUGUAUUGUUACCAUUUACACAAAAAUGAAGAGAUGGUUUGAACAGUGGGCAAAAAGGGAUCUUCAGACAUCAAACAAGGUUUCUAAAUCGACCAAAACAAAAAUUCACAGACUAAGAUAACAUCAUCCAUUAGCUGUCAAAAACAUCUCAUCACUUCUCCUUUUUCUCCGCGGGGACAACCUUCUUCAUCCGGGCUCCCAGCUGGUGCUGGUUCAUCAACUCGACACGGAACUUCUUGCCGCCGUGAGUGAUGGGCAUCUAAUCGCCCUGGCCCCCUGGAUGGCUGUAGCAAGCUCCUCUGUUAGAAUUGAAUCACCAGGCUUGGAGCAAGAGAGGUGUAAACACGGAGAAAAACAAUACAAAGCUCACUAAUAAUAGGUUGAUGGUAUUUCUUAUACACAAACUGAAACUAAUGACUGCUAGAAUUCCACCAUUCAACCGAUGUUACAAGCACCUGAAGACAUUAUUAUUCCAAAUAACACCACCGUAACUGAAGCAACCAACAAACUAAACUCUAGAACAUCAAAGGACAAUCAGAUUAAUCCUUCUCUGAAGCUCGCAUGAUAGAAAUGCCAACUUCUAACCUAGUUCAAAGAUACUGUAUAUAAUAGAUUGGCAUCGUUAUGUCUAAUAUGCAAUAAAUUAUGCAACAAAUAGAAUCCAAUAAAUCCAGUAAAUCUAAUUUUCAUUCUUCUAUGUAUAUUAGUUUUUUAGAUUUAAGAGGAGAAAUAUUUCAUGAACAUUUAAAGUCAUCAUGCUUUGAAUUAGACGACACAAGCAUUAGAACUGCAUUUGCUCGAUCCUUGAGUGAGACCUUUCUACUCCCAAGAAAAGAAGAAGAGAAGAAAAGUGUAAUCUGGAUGUGGCAUCAAUAGCAUAGCUAGAAAGUAUAUAUAUAUGCAGUUGUUCAAGACUGACUAACCAUUUUGCAUUGAAGUUUGCAAAUAAAUCAUUUUCAUAUUUGAACAAGGGGACUUGUAAACCUCAGGAACAGACGUUUCUUUAAGAUUUAACAAAUAGCAGCAGAAACUCUGCAUGAAAGAAACAAUUCUGAUGCACUGAGAUAAACAACUCCAAUGUACUUGUUGAUAUGAAGGUGAUCGAGUAGAUAGACUGACACAGACAACAGUAAGCAUACCUCUUGUCAAUCUGCACUUCAGAGCCUAGUUACUUUUUGAGCCAAUAUAUGCAUCAACUCAGGAUCCUCCGCUGUAUAAACCUGGUAUCACGAAGAAAGGCAACAAUAAGCAUACCUCUUCUCAAUCUGCACUUCGGAGCCUAGAUUUUGUAUCAAUCUCAAUAUGAAAACUGAAGCAAUAUACAUUGGCAUACCAGGAAGAAAGGCAACAAUACCCAGCAACAAAUAGGCCAUACACCUGAGAGCUGUCAGCAUCCAUGUGACCUUGAAACUGCAUAAGGAAAUAUCAUAGCAAAAGUUUAAUAUUGUCUGAUAGGACACAACAGCCAUGUAUCUUUCUAAGAAAGUUGACAAUCAGCUUGUAAACAAAAUACCUUGCUAGUUGCAAAACAACCUUCGGUAUCAUCUUUGUAUCAUUAUGUAGCAAAGGUCCCUACUUUAUAUUAGCCUAACAAACCUGCCGAAGCUAUCUGCACAACUCCACAAAAAUCAGAAAGAAUUAAGAGAAUUAGUAUUAAAAGGAGAGCAGUAUGCCUACAAGGAUGAAAUAAUAGGAUGGAUUGACAUGAACUACACACGCAUUAGUACCUGCAGUUCAAUAUCCCAAUGCCCUUAAGAAUUUCUACUACUCCUGAUCUGAAAGUGUUCAACUUAACCAAAUAGAUUGUUACUUAUCUUUGGCUCUGAACAAUACUGACUUAUAAACAGUUAUAAGCAUCAAAUUUCAAAGAAUCACAGAUCAACAAGUUGCUGGCUGAUCUGUCGUACAUGUAUUUAUUUUUUCAACGGUAUGCUUGCCCUUGGGACAAAGCUUUGAAUUGGCUAGCAUAAAUAUGUAAUAGUCUAUGUGAAGCAAUAAACUGGGAAUUAGAAGAAAAAAAUCAACUGAAAAUUAUGUCUUAUGAUUUGAUAUAGCUUAAAAAGGAUCCACUUUAUGAGUUGAAACAAAGCACGUGAAUGACAUAGUCACAAAGAUACGUCCGCCAACCUUCUUCCUCCCAGUAGACAUGGAAAUUAGUAGUCACCCAUCUAGGAUUAAGUAAAUAAAAAGAAAGAUGGAAAAGAGAGAGCACCUUUGAUGAACACAGACAACCAAGCAGCUUCCCCUUGUUCUCGUCUUGGCCGGCACUACACCUCUUCCCGGUCGGCAACCUGGAUGAGCGACAACCUGGCCGGCACUACGCCGAACGAUACAGCUACCCGCAGCUCACGCUGCUCAGGCCAACCGCACAUAGACCACGAACGCUGCACCACAUCCUGGGCCGCUGUCCCAACAUGUCGUCCAACAGUCCCGACUGGGGCGCAUUGACGGAGCUGACAACCUUGCUGCUUCCGCACUUCAAGGUCCUCACCCAAGCCAUGCCGACAAGCAGCCCUACCUCUUGGAGCUGUCGUCGCAGUACUGCCCGAGGCCGCAGCCUCGACACUUAAUAGAAGAUCCCGGAGCCGCAGCCCCGACAUACACCGCCUUUGAAAACGAAAGAGCCCCACACGACAUCCAAAGGCUGGCCCUCCAAGGCAACGCCUCUGAAGAUGGUUACGACGUAAACGCCGCCGCCACCCACUCCAGAAAACUGGAGUUUAGGUUCUCACCCGGAGAACCCAAGCACAUGAAAGGAUAGGAAGAUGUCUA